GUUCCAUAUUUUUUUUAACCUAAUGAGGCUUUCUUUGUAGCUUAGUAUUUUGUGAAUUUUCUCUGGGUACCUGACACUCAUGUGUGUCUGAUAAUAUCAGACCUACCUUAUUAAUUAUGCUGUUGAGUUCAUCCAACUCCUUGUUUACUUACUUGUAGAGUUUUUCGUAAUGUGAAGUCUCUCUCUGUUUUUUGGCUGCACCACCCACUUGGCAUGUGGGAUCUUAGUUCUCUGACCAGGGGUGGAGCCCAAGCCGCCUGCAGUGGAAGCAUGGAGUCUUAACCACUGGGGUGCCAGGGAAGUCCUGUAAAGUCCCUCUUUUACUUUGCUGUCUCAGCGAGAGAAAGACGGCCCCCUGCCAGGACUUGCCAGUCUGAUUGUCAUCCACUCCAACUCUUCUGUUUCUCUGAGGCAACGUGGUUUCGAUCCCCGACCUGGGCUGAUUCCACAUGCCACAAGCAACUAAACCUGUGCACCUCAACUACUGAAGCCCCCGCACUCUAGAGCCUGCACACAGCAGCAAGAGAACCCACCACAGUGAGAAGCCUGCAAACCGCAUGAAGAGUCGCCGGCACUCCCGCAACUAGAGGAAGCCUGCACAGCAGUGAAGACCCAGUGCUGCCAGAAAUAAAGAAAUGAUUUCUAAGAAGGGGAAAUAAAGUUGUUUAGUCUGAUGAGACAAGCAAGGCAGACAUCAGCUCUGCCCAUGAUGGAAUAACAGGGUCUGCAUUCACCCUCUCACUUUAAAUGACUUAAAAAAUGGGCAAAGGGGAAUUCCCUGGUGGCCAAGUGGUUAGGACUCCACACUUUCACUGCUGAGGGCCCACGUUCAAUCCCUGGUCAGGGAACUAAGAUCCCGAAAGCUGCACAGCAUAGCCAGAUUUUUUGAAAAAAAGGCAAAGUAUAUAAAACAAUUGUUUUCAGUUAUUGAACAAUAGAUAGCACAGAAGGAUAAUACCUGAGAAAAGGGAAAAGAAUGUGUUCAACCCUAUUGCUGCCCCAAUUUGCUGUCUGGAUGGAGUUCCCAGGCUGUGGUUCAGUGAGGGAGACCGGACACACAGGCCACUGGGUUUCUUGAGGAGACAGAGUUUAGAUGAAGAGAGCUUGAGUUUACAGGGCAAAAUAUUGGAAGGAAUGCUGCACCACAGAGACAGAGAAAGAGCUCCUGAAAUCUUCAAAGGGUUUCUCUCGAGUCUUUGGCUGAGUACUUAUCAUCACAUGUGAAUGAAGAAACUCCUCAAGGCUGGAUAAUGAACCAUCAGAAAGGAAC
ensembl:lncRNA